GGAGGAGGUAUCAUUAGAAAAGGAGACACUGAAUGAGCAUUAGGAGAGAUAAGAGGAAAACUACAAGAGGACGGUGUCACAGAGACUGAAUGAUUGAAGGGUUUGAAGAAGAAAAUCAUGAUCAACGGUGUCAAAGGCAGCAGAGAGGUGAAGAAUUAGUAUGGAGUAGUGGCCUUUGGAUUUAGCUGCAAUUAGGUCAUUAGUAACUUUGAUAAGAGCAAUCUCAGUAAAGUGGAGAAGGCAGAAGCCAGAUUGAAGAGGGUCUAGGAGAGAGUUGGAAUUGAGGAAGUGAGACAUACGGGUAAAGAAAAG